UCGGCUUAGAGUUUGAUCAUGGCUCAGAUUGAACGCUGGCGGCAGGCCUAACACAUGCAAGUCGAACGGUAAGAGAGCUUGCUCUUGACGAGUGGCGGACGGGUGAGUAAUGUCUGGGAAACUGCCCGAUGGAGGGGGAUAACUACUGGAAACGGUAGCUAAUACCGCAUAACGUCUUCGGACCAAAGUGGUUCGUCACACCAUCGGAUGUGCCCAGAUGGGAUUAGCUAGUAGGUGGGGUAAUGGCUCACCUAGGCGACGAUCCCUAGCUGGUCUGAGAGGAUGACCAGCCACACUGGAACUGAGACACGGUCCAGACUCCUACGGGAGGCAGCAGUGGGGAAUAUUGCACAAUGGGCGCAAGCCUGAUGCAGCCAUGCCGCGUGUACGAAGAAGGCCUUCGGGUUGUAAAGUACUUUCAGCGGGGAGGAAGGCGGUGGAGUAAUCUUCAUCGUUGACGUUACCCGCAGAAGAAGCACCGGCUAACUCCGUGCCAGCAGCCGCGGUAAUACGGAGGGUGCAAGCGUUAAUCGGAAUUACUGGGCGUAAAGCGCACGCAGCGGUCUGUCAAGUCGGAUGUGAAAUCCCCGGGCUUAACCUGGGAACUGCAUUCGAAACUGGCAGCUAGAGUCUUGUAGAGGGGGGUAGAAUUCCAGUGUAGCGGUGAAAUGCGUAGAGAUCUGGA
rnacentral:rRNA from 1 species